UGUAAAUAAAAGGGGAGCUUGUGAUAGCAGGCUGAGAGGAAGUCUUCAACUUCGACCCAGAACCUGAUUUGGAUAAUGCCAACGUAGGAACGUAUAAGAUAAUGUUA
rnacentral:ncRNA from 2 species